GAUGAACGCUGGCGGCGUGCCUAAUACAUGCAAGUCGAGCGAACAGACGAGGAGCUUGCUCCUCUGACGUUAGCGGCGGACGGGUGAGUAACACGUGGAUAACCUACCUAUAAGACUGGGAUAACUUCGGGAAACCGGAGCUAAUACCGGAUAAUAUAUUGAACCGCAUGGUUCAAUAGUGAAAGACGGUUUUGCUGUCACUUAUAGAUGGAUCCGCGCCGCAUUAGCUAGUUGGUAAGGUAACGGCUUACCAAGGCAACGAUGCGUAGCCGACCUGAGAGGGUGAUCGGCCACACUGGAACUGAGACACGGUCCAGACUCCUACGGGAGGCAGCAGUAGGGAAUCUUACGCAAUGGGGAAAAACCUGACGUAGCAACGCCGCGUGAGUGAUGAAGGUCUUCGGAUCGUAAAACUCUGUUAUUAGGGAAGAACAAAUGUGUAAGUAACUAUGCACGUCUUGACGGUACCUAAUCAGAAAGCCACGGCUAACUACGUG
rnacentral:rRNA from 1 species